CGAGGCCGGCAGCGGGGUGGCUGCCCGGGGCAGCAGGCUGCGCCUCCACAAGCCAAUUUUAGAAAAUCUGAGGAAGAGGAACUAGAAUAUUUUUUUUUCCUUUUUGCCUUGGACCUAAUUACAACCUUAUGCCAGCUAAAGCGAUGCCACAUCUCCUCAUCACAGCAGAGAGGCCUCUAGGUGAAAUCAUGGAGAAGACGACAAGGCCGGAAGUGCAAAGAGAGGGGGCCCGGGUGAAAGCCCAGCUCGGGCUGCUGCCCGGGUGCCUGCGGGCUUGUUCAGCGGCGGGCCCCUUGGAAGUUCCGCAGAGAUAGUUUGAAAAUACUGUAACAAAAAAGAAAAACCUGCAUUGUAUCAAAUAUGAGGCAUAUGACUAGGAAUAAUAGAAGGCUUUUAAAAAUGUGUAAAUGGGAGGUAAUAACCUCACAGAGAUCUUUUGUUACCAGACCCUCCUAUUUUACAGCAAAUGGAACAGCACCGCCCAACAGAAGCAAAACGCUGCUCAGCAAAUGCUGCCCGGGGAUGGGAGGCAAGGUUCCUGGGAGCCGUAUUUUAAAAAGUAAAAAGGAACAGCCUAGUACGCAUCUCAGUGAGGGCACUGAACAGCCCAUCCCAAGGCAGACCGGACACACUCCAGGUGCGCAGGAGCAGCGCCGCACCGCGCCGGACAGCACCGACCCAGGACCGGGGGAGGAAGCCAGGUUCCACCACCGCCAGCAAAUAC